rnacentral:rRNA from 1 species
CCUACGGGUGGCUGCAGUGAGGAAUAUUGGUCAAUGGACGAGAGUCUGAACCAGCCAAGUAGCGUGAAGGAUGACUGCCCUAUGGGUUGUAAACUUCUUUUAUAUGGGAAUAAAAUGUUCCACGUGUGGGCUUUUGUAUGUACCCUAUGAAUAAGGAUCGGCUAACUCCGUGCCCGCAGCCGCGGUAAUACGGAGGAUCCGAGCGUUAUCCGGAUUUAGUGGGUUUAAAGGGAGCGUAGGUGGAUUGUUAAGUCAGUUGUGAAAGUUUGCGGCUCAACCGUAAAAUUGCAGUUGAAACUGGCAGUCUUGAGUACAGUAGAGGUGGGCGGAAUGCGUGGUGUAGCGGUGAAAUGCUUAGAUAUCACGAAGAACUCCGAUUGCGAAGGCAGCUCACUGGACUGCAACUGACACUGAGGCUCGAAAGUGUGGGUAUCAAACAGGAUUAGAUACCCUUGUAGUC